UGCCGGCGCCCGGCUUGGCCGCGCCGCUCUCCUCGCCGCCGGCCCACUCCUCGUCCUGCAGCGGCGGCCGUCCGUCCAGCGAGAUGUUGACUGAGGAUGCAGCCCCUGAUUUAAAUGCACACCGGAGAGUGCGUCAGAACCCAGGCUCGAACAUCAAACGUGUGGCCAGACUAAUUGACACAUCUCCAUUUGAUGGUGCUGUCACUUUUCAUCUCUUUCUUAGCAAAGGCCAACAUCAAUUUUUACUUCGGCCCAGAAACGUGCUCCGUUUUCCAUGAAGACCAAGACGCUGCCCCCGUUCCUCCUUUUCCUGGAUCGGAGUCAGGACACCUGGGUCUCAUCCAUGUUCUGCAGUGAAUUUCCCUGUUUAAAGGUAGCAGCCCCGUGCUCGUGGCUCAUCUGACUGCAGGGUGAUGGCUGGUGAAUACAGACAAGAUGCAAGGACCUGGAUUCACUAUCAAAUAAUUGGGUGUUAUCUGGUCAGUCUGAAUGGAGGGAAUCUGUCUGUGGACUGGGCAACAGUGGUGGCCUCACUGCGAAAUGAGUUUGAUUGCCGGAACUACAGCAGGAUGCAGUUGUUGUCCUCUGGGAUUCCAUGAAAAUUUGACCUGAUGUGCUGCCUGGCUCUAAAGUUUGCCUGUUGUCUGUAUUGCAUUUGCGGUAUUCGGUUGCAGGGCACCACUACGUACCUGGGUGAACCAAGAUUGUAAGGGUCGUGCAGGGUAUGUGGGGUGGGGUGUAUGGCCAGGCCACUCAAGGUGGCUGUUCUCUUGCUCUUCGUACAUCCCCUGCUCGACCAGUGCCUGCUUCACCUACACUCUGCUCACACGAACGUGCUUGGCCUCUGCCCCAGCUAGCGAUUGUUCUAGUCUUUAGGCCAGAACGGCUCCAGCUGCUAAUUUAUUAAAGGGAAACAUCUGCCCUGGAGAUGGUUGUUACCCUGAGGGGCUGGGAGGGACCUGCCCCAGCUGCUAGUUUCCCUGGUAACUGAUGAGCCAACCUGCGGUCAUUUCCCCCUUUAAAUGGCAGCCUCCUUCUCCCCUGACUAGCAAAGAUUGUUGCCAUGGCCUGCCUGUUGUCUGUCCUACACGGUAGGGUGACCCCUUGUUUCGGGCGUCCAACAAAUCGUCUCUGUCCCUGCCUUGGGGCUCUUUCUUCAGUCUCGAGGCUGGGCAACUACAAGGCUUGCAGGCCUGCGGGGUGCAGCCCAAAAUGGUCUAAGGUUGGUCUGAGUUUCAUCUCUUAUUAGUUCCUGCCAACCUUUGGAAAUGUUAAAGAACACUGAAAGGGUCCAGAGUCAGCAUGAAUGAAUGAUUAUCUGAGUGAAUAAAUAGAAGGAUCAGUACAAAAGAAAACCUCUUGGACAAACCUUCAACUGGAUAAUGGGCCUCCCUGAAUUUGAGUGGAGAGUAACAUACACGAGGGAAAUGCCUUAGAAAGAGUACUAGAGGCCAACUGUUACUGCCCUAUAAUCUGGCCUAUGAUUUCAUAAACUGGUUUGUUGGGCAAAUGUCCACUAUGUAACUGUUGCUGGAUUCUUUAAUGUGUGAAAGUUCACUUCAGAAUUAGAGAUGAAUGUACUCCUAUUUAAUAGUUUUACAAUUAUAAAUGAUGUGUAAAACAAGGGUCUCUUCCCAUUUCCAGUGCGAGACCCCCUCCAAUUGAUCGUUAUGUCCCUUGUUACCACUGAAUUGGUAAUCAGCUCACUGAGGAGAAACUGUCAUAUUCAUCUUUGUAUCCUCCCUCAGCUGCCACAGUUCUGGUAACAAUCAUUCAAUUGCUUAAAUUUCUUUCCGAUUCCUACUGCCACCUUCUUGGCCCAAAUGUUCUUCAUGCUUGGAAUAUUACUAAAUUUCUUUAUUGCACACCUGAUUCUAUGCUUGACUACCCCCUGCCCACCACCCCCCAAAACCCUCAUUUUAUGUAUUAUAUAUUGCUGCCUGAUGAUUAUAUAUAAAUUAAUACGUUACUACCCAACUCAGUAUUUUCAG